ensembl:lncRNA
GUUCUAUGUGAUACCCCAGGCAAGAUGCCUACCUCUUCUCUGGUUGUCUUUCUUUAAAAUAGACAUGAAUAUGUACUUGGAAACAAAAUGGACUAAAAUGUGUUUUAAGAUCCUUGAAUCAGAAUGGUGGUGUAAGGUGUAAUUGUUACCUCUUCAUGUGGCUAGUCAUCCAUUCCAUGCUGACUCUCACAGAAUACAAACUGCAAAGAAAAACCCAUGAACAGGCAAUAAAACAAGAGGCCUCUGUUUGAUCUGUUCUGACCACUAUCAAAAGAGAUUGCACUGCACCCUAUCAGAAGAGCCAGGGAAUGGAAGAAAGUAGUUGGAUGUGUAGAAGGGAUGCUACCAGGCAUUGCAGGGGGAAGACUCAUCGCAAGGCUGGAAAGAGGAAACAAAAGAAAGAAGAAAACACAGUGAUCACUACUCUAUUCUGGGCAUUUUGCUCACACAACACAGAUGCCCCCCAAUAAUUCUGCAAAACAUCACAAAGAGGGCCCAGGAGUGACCCACUGAAGCAUGAAAAAUGGCAAGAAACACUACAGCACAGACUAAUAAAGAAAGAAAGCAACAUAGCCCUCCACUGAAAUCUAAUUGUUUGUCAAGCUCAUCUUUUUCCACAUAAAGGAAAGCAAAGGAUUACUGCAAGGCAGAACUGUCUGAAGAUCCCCUGGCUCACCAUGAUGCUAUUGGAG